rnacentral:rRNA from 1 species
UCCUACGGGAGGCAGCAGUGGGGAAUAUUGCGCAAUGGGCGGAAGCCUGACGCAGCGACGCCGCGUGGGGGAUGACGGCCUUCGGGUUGUAAACCUCUUUCAGCAGGGACGAAGCCGUGAGGUGACGGUACCUGCAGAAGAAGCACCGGCCAACUACGUGCCAGCAGCCGCGGUAAUACGUAGGGUGCAAGCGUUGUCCGGAAUUAUUGGGCGUAAAGAGCUCGUAGGCGGUUUGUUGCGUCGGCUGUGAAAUCCCGAGGCUCAACCUCGGGUCUGCAGUCGAUACGAGCAAACUAGAGUGUUGCAGGGGAGACUGGAAUUCCUGGUGUAGCGGUGAAAUGCGCAGAUAUCAGGAGGAACACCGGUGGCGAAGGCGGGUCUCUGGGCAACAACUGACGCUGAGGAGCGAAAGCGUGGGGAGCGAACAGGAUUAGAUACCCUGGUAGUCCACGCCGUAAACGUUGGGCGCUAGGUGUGGGGCUCAUUCCACGAGUUCCGUGCCGCAGCUAACGCAUUAAGCGCCCCGCCUGGGGAGUACGGCCGCAAGGCUAAAACUCAAAGGAAUUGACGGGGGCCCGCACAAGCGGCGGAGCAUGUUGCUUAAUUCGAUGCAACGCGAAGAACCUUAC